rnacentral:lncRNA from 1 species
GUUUGGUGGCUGUUGUUUGUUGGUGUUAGCUUUUCUCGUUUUUUUUUUAUAUCGAUUAGACCAUUGAAGUUCCUGUUGUAAUUGUUUUAUACUAUUCAUUUAUGGGCUGUUUAUAGCUUGCAGUUCGGUGUGAGCCAAGGCUCCUUGUUGAAUACAUUAGGACUUGGAUGGAGAGUUGUCUCAUUGGCACUCAUAACACAUCUUAUUAUAAUAUAUAUAUAUAUAACAACCUUAUUGAAAUAGAAAUAAUUUAAAUUACAAAAAAAAUCAAACUUGCAACAUCAAAAACCCAAAAGUGAAACUUGUAUAUGUUCACAUCUUAAGUGAAACUUGC